GCCAGCAUGGUGUAGUGGUUUGAGUGUUGGACUACGACUCCAGAGAAAAGGGUUUGAUUCCCUGCUCAGCCG